rnacentral:misc_RNA from 1 species
GGAAACUAGAAGAUAAAAGACUAGAGAUGGAAGUAAAUGGUGUCCUUUACAGCAAUGCACCACUGGACAAUAAAAGAAGCAUCUAAAACCAACUUUUUUCAAAAGCCACCCAUAGACUUCAUCUUGGCUCCUUCUCUGUAAAGUAACAGAGUAUAUAAACCUUAAGUUUCUGAGUUACAAGUCAUAAUUCACAAAGCCACUAAGCAUCAGAUAACCUACAGGUUGCUGGUUCAGGAUGAAUUAUUUCAAUGGUCUAAUAUCUCCAAGAGAAAGAUGGGGUGUGUUGCUAUGGAAAAUAGGAAUGAUGGGAAUGUUCUUGCUUGCUAGAGUAAACUCAGAGGCUGAUCAAAUGGGAGCACCUGCAGCUGGUUUAUUAUGCAUAAGCGAUUGUACUACUUGUCCAGUCAUAUGUUCACCACCUCCUCCGCCAGGUGAACCACAUUAUUAUGCACCGCCAUCUCACCAUUCUCCACCUCCUCAACCUUACAAUUAUCACCCUCCAUCACCAUCCCCACCACCACCAUCAGCUUCGCCGCCACCACCACCACCAGCAGCACCGUCGCCACGGUCAACUUCGCGACCGCCACCUUCACCUUCAUGGUAUCCUUCAUGGGGCCCUCCUAGUGUUCAAGUGCCACCUAAACAAGGACAGUACCCUUACCCUUACUACUACUUCUAUGCCUCAAACGCCUCUUCUCUUUCUUUUCAUGCUUCCUUUUACUUUUCCCUUGUGCUUUUUCAUGUUUCAUGUUGUGUGCUGCUAACUUGUUGUUGAAAGUUGUUAUUAUAUAUAUGGAGUAAGACUUGAGUUUGUAAAAAGGAGAAGGGAAAUUAAGCUAUAUAUAUAUAUAGAUAGGUAGAGAGGGAGAGAGAUUUGUUUCUUGUUAUGCUCUUCAUUUAUUUCAUAUCCAUCAAAUGUAUGAAAUCAUAAAUUUAUUUUGUUUUGUUAAUUUUUAUGUUGC